AGUGGUGAAGGCAUUAUAUGUCACAUUGGACUGAAGUAAAUUUAGUUGUAAAAUUAUUAGUGCGUUUUCCGUGCCCAGCCUCUAUAGGAAACAGUGAAGACCUUUCGCCAGGAAGAAGGCAGUUCAGUGGUAGGAAUAAUUACGGUGUGGGGUGCCUGCAUGUGGAGAUCUUCCUUCAUAAACUGGGUCAAGUGAGCACUCAACUGGCUGCUCCAAACCAUCCCAGUUAUAACAUUUCGGUACAGACUGGGUAGAAAAAACAGUUUCUAACAGUACCUCUAUUGCUACAUGCAUAUCUGUUGCCGCAGGAACCUGUUUGCCAAGCCAUUGCCUAGAAAUGGCUCUACACAGUACAGUGUAUAUACUAGGCAUAUGAGCAAGUAACAGAGGUACAAAAUACUAUAAGUGCGAAAUUUGUCACUGCUAAAUGCAAAUUUGAUAAGGAAAAGAUGUGUGUUUUGUUCCUAUGAAAAAAAUGGUUAAAGGUGUGGGAACCUCCUACAGUCCAACAGACUACUCCUUCGGUCACAGAAACAGACAGCUCAAACUCCUUCGGUCAGACAGACAAUUCUAACUCUCAGGGUAUAUGUGACUUUUGACUUUUAGUAAACACACUCACGGCUCUGCAUACGAAUACGCAUCGGUCCAGCCUUCGUUGGUCUACGCGCUUCACUGCAAGCACAACUCCAAUAAACAGCACCGCAGCGCCUGGCCAGCUAGAUUCAUCGCUCUCCUGCCGGUUCAUAACUACCAAGCGGCCAAAAAGAAGGCCCUGACUAUCCAGCUAGACUCACUGGCUUGUAACUGCCAAGUGACCGUAAGGAGGGCCCAGGCUACUACAAAUGAGACACGGGUGACAACGCCCUUUUCAGGGCCAGCAUUCUUCAUGGCACCGACAAGCCGAAUUGGAUGCUAUGAAAACAGUCAACUUAUAUUAUCCGAGGGGGCACGAAUGGCUCCCCAGCCAUCCUGUAUAUUUGUGAAUAAUAUAUAUACCUGUUAUAGCUUUAUGUGGUUGUCUCUUUGGAACAUCGACAUCCCACAAAGGCAACUGCUAACAAAGGCCUGAAGUUGAAAACUAAGUUUUAAAAAAUGCACAAACAGUUAUUAUUCAGAGAAUAUCGAAAAUGAAGUAUAGGCUUAUUUUAACCUAAGCAACACUGCUUUAAAACUACACACAUAUUUGUCCAUGCUACAAAAGAAAUUUAUUGUCAUGUGUAAAAUGAAAUGACAAGGCAUUUGACCUGCACUGAUAAUAAUGCUUGAAUUACAUUUUACAGUUUCUGCAGAACCUUUCUAUAUAGAAUAAUUAGAAUAAUUUCAGCACUACCUUGUACCCACAAACCCAAAUGUUACAGUUAAAUGGGUAACAGUCCUCAGCCAUACUCUGGAGGUCCUGUAUGCUAUCUUCGCCCAGCAACUGGCUAUCCUGACUGAGAAUUUUCAUGGUUUAUCUCAGUCCCUCCAGUAAAAUUCCAGGAUACUACCUCAAAUUAAGCCACAACUGAUCCCUUUCUUAUGCUUCCUAACUCAUCAUUCCCUUUUAAAAUCACUUUGUCAUCCAGUGUAACAUACCAUGAGUUCUGACAGGCUGUUUAAUGAACCAUAAAUAAAAUAUAAACACAUUCACAGUAAAAAGCAGAAGGCAUUCCAUUUACAAUGCAACCCAAACUACAGUGCAUGCAAGCAGACAGCUGGUGUCAGCAAUGUUUUAUUUGGUACUUCCUAAUCAAUGUAUGUAUGGUUUAGAAAAUGCUUCAUAAACAGCGGCAGACAAUUUCAAUGUGAGGUAAUGUUCAAGAAUUAACACAUUUUCUACUCAUAAAUGCACUAUGCUUGCACUUGCAAACCUCCUGUGCAACUUGCAAGAACAAAAGUGUAGCAACCUGAGCAAUGUUGGUUAAUUCAAGUGUCAUGAGGAAAGCUGGGGGUGUCUGUUAUAUCGGGUAUUGGCUUCUGAGUUCUUUUCUGUACUGCAGUAUGUGGCAGUUGUUAGGGUUGCAUUUUAAAAUGGUGCACUCUGUAUAACAGAAACACCAAUUAACUAUCUUUCACAAUUUAUUUACAAACCAAAGUAGUACUGACAUCCAUAUUAAACAUUUGGUAGUUCAUAAAACAUAAUUCUGAUCACAGUGUUUAAUUUUGCAGUGUGGAAGACAUAAUUCCCUAGGCAUCAGUAAUAAUGACAUAACAAGGAGAGAACACUUUCAAAUACAUCUGAGAAUCAGUUCUGUAAUAAAUGAGCAAUGUAUGAAUCUCUCAAGCAGAAACAAUUGCAAAACGAAUUUAUGAACAUAUACAUUACUAGCAAAAGUAGGUGCGCUUCACCCAGGAUACAGUUUUCUCUCCAUAUCAAUAUCAAAAUAUAAAUAUCUGAAAUUUUAAAGAAGGAAUGGCAUUCAAAUACUAUAUCAGUUGUAAGGAUAUGUAAUGUGGUAGUUACCAACUUUUCUGAGGACUCUGCUACCUCCAUCUUCACGAUAUACCAAUGAGGACAUACUGCUGUGAUAAUCUCAAAUCCCAUGAAUUUUUAAACAAGUUCAAAAGCCAUUCUUUUAAGACUGAUUUUCUGAGAAGUGAUGUGAUACAGGUAGAGUUACCAAUGUUAUCAGAGGAAAUGAACAUGCUGCCUCCACCUCCUCCUUCAGCAUAAAAGUGAGCUGAGUGAGGAAAUCAGUUACAUAAGGAAGGGUUAGGGCAGUGGUUGUAAGUAACACCACAAGACCCAGGGGCCCUAUAGAAGUAACUUUUUCAGGUCUUGAAGAAGAGGCAGCAGGGCCCUGCAAACAUUGAUAACCAUCUACCGAACUACAUGGUGUCACCACACAUAUUGGUGAUUUGUUUUUUGUAGGUGUGUGGUUUAUUCUGAGUUUUCUUCAGUCCCUCUAGGCAAAUACUGGGAGCACCUUGUUUAGGACAUGAUCACUUCCUUCCACAUCCCUACCAAUUUAUCAUUCAAUGCUAUACAAGGUGUCCCAGGAGAAAAGAUCGAUAUUCUGGGAGGUCACAGUAUUGGUCAUUCUAAGCAAAAACGUGCAUAUGUA